rnacentral:rRNA from 1 species
UACGUAGGGUGCGAGCGUUAAUCGGAAUUACUGGGCGUAAAGCGUGCGCAGGCGGUUGUGCAAGCCAGAUGUGAAAUCCCCGGGCUCAACCUGGGAACUGCAUUUGUGACUGCACGGCUGGAGUGCGGCAGAGGGGGAUAGAAUUCCGCGUGUAGCAGCGAAAUGCGUAGAUAUGCGGAGGAACACCGAUGGCGAAGGCAAUCCCCUGGGCCUGCACUGACGCUCAUGCACGAAAGCGUGGGGAGCAAACAGG